AUUGAACGCUGGCGGCAGGCCUAACACAUGCAAGUCGAGCGGAUGAAGAGAGCUUGCUCUCUGAUUUAGCGGCGGACGGGUGAGUAAUGCCUAGGAAUCUGCCUGGUAGUGGGGGAUAACGUUCCGAAAGGAACGCUAAUACCGCAUACGUCCUACGGGAGAAAGCAGGGGACCUUCGGGCCUUGCGCUAUCAGAUGAGCCUAGGUCGGAUUAGCUAGUUGGUGAGGUAAUGGCUCACCAAGGCGACGAUCCGUAACUGGUCUGAAAGGAUGAUCAGUCACACUGGAACUGAGACACGGUCCAGACUCCUACGGGAGGCAGCAGGGGGGAAUAUUGGACAAUGGGCGAAAGCCUGAUCCAGCCAUGCCGCGUGUGUGAAGAAGGUCUUCGGAUUGUAAAGCACUUUAAGUUGGGAGGAAGGGCAGUAAGUUAAUACCUUGCUGUUUUGACGUUACCGACAGAAUAAGCACCGGCUAACUUCGUGCCAGCCGCCGCGGUAAAAC
rnacentral:rRNA from 1 species